rnacentral:rRNA from 1 species
UACGUAGGAUCCUAGCGUUGCCCGGAUUUACUGGGUGUAAAGGGUGCGCAGGCGGACUGGUGAGUCAGGGGUGAAAUCUCGCCGCUUAACGGCGAAACUGCCUUUGAUACUAUCAGUCUUGAGUUUGGUAGAGAUCCGUGGAAUUCCGAGUGUAGCAGUGAAAUGUGUAGAUAUUCGGAAGAACACCAGUGGCGAAGGCAGCGGAUUGGGCCAAUACUGACGCUCAGGCACGAAAGCAUGGGGAUCAAACAGG